rnacentral:misc_RNA from 1 species
CCUAGAGUUGUAGGCUUCGCCUGCUAUCUCUUACCCAUGUCUUUUGAGUACUUACGUUUCCUCGGCGGGUCCGCCCGCCGAUUGGACAAUUUAAAACCAUUUGCAGUUGCAAUCAACGUCUGAAAAACUUUAAUAGUUA